rnacentral:rRNA from 1 species
GACGAACGCUGGCGGCGUGCCUAAUACAUGCAAGUCGACCUUAGUGGCGAACGGGUGAGUAACACGUGGGUAACCCGCCCAUCAGAAAGGGAUAACACUUGGAAACAGGUGCUAAUACCGUAUACUGAUGGAUGGACCCUCGGUGCAUUAGCUAGUUGGUGAGGUAACGGCUCACCAAGGCCACGAUGCAUAGCCGACCUGAGGGGGUGAUCGGCAACAUUGGUACUGGGACACGGCCCUAACUCCUACGGGAGGCAGAAGUGGGAAAUCUUCGGCAAUGGACGAAGGUCUGACCGAGCAACGCCGCGUGAGUGAAGAAGGUUUUCGGAUCGUAAAACUCUGUUGUUAGAGAAGCGGUAUCUAACCAGAAAGCCACGGCUAACUACGUGCCAGCAGCCGCGGUAAUAC